GCGCUUCGACGGGCUGGGCUGUGCGCCUGCGCAGUGUGGGUCGCUCCCGAUUCCCUGCCCCGGCCGGCCCCGCCUCGGCUCCGCACC